GGCAGGUGGGCAAGGCUGGAGCUGUGGGGUCCCUGGGCUCCCCUCUGGCCUUUCCUCCAGCUGUGGCCCGGAUUUGCUGCCUUCCCUGACUUCACCAGCCCCGAGGCCCUGGACUGGUGGCAGGACAUGGUGGCCGAGUUCCACGCCCAGGUGCCCUUCGACGGCAUGUGGAUUGACAUGAACGAGCCCUCCAACUUCGUCAAGGGCUCUGUGUACGGCUGCCCCGACAGUGACCUGGAGAAUCCGCCCUACGUGCCGGGGGUGGCUGGC